UGUAGGAGCCGGCUUGCUGGCGAUAGCGGUAUCUCAGUCAAACAUUUAUCGCCUGACACACCGCUAUCGCCAGCAAGCCGGCUCCUACA
rnacentral:misc_RNA from 1 species